rnacentral:rRNA from 1 species
GACGAACGCUGGCGGCGUGCUUAACACAUGCAAGUCGAACGGAAAGGCCCUGCUUUUGUGGGGUGCUCGAGUGGCGAACGGGUGAGUAACACGUGAGUAACCUGCCCUUGACUUUGGGAUAACUUCAGGAAACUGGGGCUAAUACCGGAUAGGAGCUCCUGCUGCAUGGUGGGGGUUGGAAAGUUUCGGCGGUUGGGGAUGGACUCGCGGCUUAUCCGCUUGUUGGUGGGGUAGUGGCUUACCAAGGCUUUGACGGGUAGCCGGCCUGAGAGGGUGACCGGCCACAUUGGGACUGAGAGACGGCCCAGACGCCUACGGGAGGCAGCAGUGGGGAAUAUUGCACAAUGGGCGGAAGCCUGAUGCAGCAACGCCGCGUGCGGGAUGACGGCCUUCGGGUGGUAAACCGCUUUCGCCUGUGACGAAGCGUGAGUGACGGUAAUGGGUAAAGAAGCACCGGCUAACUACGUG